rnacentral:rRNA from 1 species
UAGGGAAUCUUCCGCAAUGGACGCAAGUCUGACGGAGCAACGCCGCGUGAGUGAAGAAGGAUUUCGGUUCGUAAAACUCUGUUGUUAGAGAAGAACAGCGCAUAGAGUAACUGUUAUGCGUGUGACGGUAUCUAACCAGAAAGCCACGGCUAACUACGUGCCAGCAGCCGCGGUAAUACGUAGGUGGCUAGCGUUGUCCGGAUUUAUUGGGCGUAAAGCGAGCGCAGGCGGUCAAUUAAGUCUGAUGUGAAAGCCCCCGGCUCAACCGGGGAGGGUCAUUGGAAACUGGUUGACUUGAGUGCAGAAGAGGAGAGUGGAAUUCCAUGUGUAGCGGUGAAAUGCGUAGAUAUAUGGAGGAACACCAGUGGCGAAGGCGACUCUCUGGUCUGUAACUGACGCUGAGGCUCGAAAGCGUGGGUAGCAAACAGG